ensembl:ncRNA lncRNA:CR44817 long non-coding RNA:CR44817
ACUCUUUUAACUUCGAACUCCCGGAGACUGCAAGCCAAAAGAGACCCCUAGCGAUUAAUAUUUAUGGCCGCGAGUGUUAACCCCACCACACUACGCCCCGCCUACCACAAAUUGUAUGCUAAUCGCUUGGACCCCCGAGACAUUGGCAGCUGCCCCAAGUGGAACUGGACAUGGGGACAUGGUACCUGGGGACCUGGAGUCAGUCGGACCACUCGAUUGUUUUCCUUCGGUUGCUAUGAGUGUGCCUGAUUUAUGGAGUGUCGCUGACUAAUUUGAGAUCUUUCGAGGAGUGUGAGUGCAGCAGUUAUACAGUUUGCAGUUUGCAGUUUGCAGUUGCCUGUUGAUUUGAGUUGCGUUGCGUUUCCCCCAAACUGCAAAUGACCAUUCUAGGGAUGGCAGAAAAGCGUGACCAGCACAAGCCACAAU